rnacentral:rRNA from 1 species
UGAGGAACAUGACCUUCGGCGGGGGAUAGCCGGCCCAACGGCCGGGUAAUACCGCGUACGACCACAUGGGGACAUCCCUGAGUGGUGAAAGCAGCAAUGCGCCGAUGGAGUGCCUCGCGGCCUAUCAGCUAGUUGGUGAGGUAACGGCUCACCAAGGCGACGACGGGUAGCUGGUCUGAGAGGAUGGCCAGCCACAUUGGGACUGAGACACGGCCCAGACCUCUACGGGAGG